AGUAGUUUGACUCCGUCGGCUACGAGGACGACGCUGGCGGUGUGCUUCACACAUGCAAGUCGAACGAGGUAGCAAUACCUAGUGGCGGACGGGUGAGUAACGCGUGGGAAUCUGCCUUUAGAUGGGGGAUAACGGGUCGAAAGACUCGCUAAUACCGCAUAUGACGAAAGUUGAAAGGAGUAAUCCGUCUAAAGAUGAGCCCGCGUCCGAUUAGCUAGUUGGUAGAGUAAAAGCCUACCAAGGCGACGAUCGGUAGCUGGUCUGAGAGGAUGAUCAGCCACAAUGGGACUGAGACACGGCCCAUACUCCUACGGGAGGCAGCAGUGGGGAAUUUUACGCAAUGGGCGAAAGCCUGACGUAGCGACACCGCGUGAGCGAAGAAGCCCCUUGGGGUGUAAAGCUCUGUCAGCUGGAACGAAAAAAUGACGGUACCAGCAGAGGAAGCAUCGGCUAACUACGUG
rnacentral:rRNA from 1 species